GCAUUCAGUUGCCAUCGGGUAAUGCCGGGCGACUCUGGAAGGACUGCCAUCGACAAGAUGGAGGAAGGUGGGGAUGACGUCAAGUCAUCAUGGCCCUUAUGUCCAGGGCGACACACGUGCUACAAUGGCCGGCACAACGGGAAGCGAGUUCGCGAGGACGAGCGGAUCCCUCAAAGCCGGUCGCAGUUCGGAUUGAAGUCUGCAACUCGACUUCAUGAAGCUGGAAUCGCUAGUAAUCGUGGAUCAGCUAAGCCGCGGUGAAUACGUUCCCGGGCCUU
rnacentral:rRNA from 1 species